GAUGAAGAACGCAGCGAAAUGCGAUAAGUAAUGUGAAUUGCAGAAUUCAGUGAAUCAUCGAAUCUUUGAACGCACAUUGCGCCCGCCAGGAUUCUGGCGGGCAUGCCUGUUCGAGCGUCAUUACAACCCUCAGGCCCCCGGGCCUGGCGUUGGGGAUCGGCGGAAGCCCCCUGCGGGCACAACGCCGUCCCCCAAAUACAGUGGCGGUCCCGCCGCAGCUUCCAUUGCGUAGUAGCUAACACCUCGCAACUGGAGAGCGGCGCGGCCACGCCGUAAAACACCCAACUUCUGAAUGUUGACCUCGAAUCAGGUAGGAAUACCCGCUGAACUUAAGCAUAUCAAUAAGCGGAGGA
rnacentral:misc_RNA from 1 species